GUGCCAGCAGCCGCGGUAAUACGAAGGGGGCUAGCGUUGCUCGGAAUUACUGGGCGUAAAGGGAGCGUAGGCGGACAUUUAAGUCAGGGGUGAAAUCCCGGGGCUCAACUCGGAAUUGCUUGAUACUGGUUUUGAGUAUGAGAGAGGUGUGUGGAUCCGAGUGUAGAG
rnacentral:rRNA from 1 species